CCCAGAGACCAACUGCCCUUCUCGGCCCAGCCAGACUCCACAGUCCUGGGGGUGGGGCGCCCGGGGCUGCUCAGACCUGCCCUGCCCAGCCGGGGUGUCAGUUGGGCCAGCCUCUGCUGCCACCUGAGAAAUCUGAUGGAGGCCCGGGCUGUAGCUGCCAAGCU